GCCAGGGUGGUGUUAUGGUGUGAGCGCUAGACUUGGACAUUGGGAGACCAGGGUUCGAAUCCCUGCACUGCCA